AAAUUGAAGAGUUUGAUCAUGGCUCAGAUUGAACGCUGGCGGCAGGCCUAACACAUGCAAGUCGAGCGGAAACGAGUUAUCAGAACCUUCGGGGGACGAUAACGGCGUCGAGCGGCGGACGGGUGAGUAAUGCCUAGGAAAUUGCCCUGAUGUGGGGGAUAACCAUUGGAAACGAUGGCUAAUACCGCAUGAUGCCUACGGGCCAAAGAGGGGGACCUUCGG
rnacentral:rRNA from 1 species